rnacentral:rRNA from 1 species
UACGUAGGGUGCGAGCGUUGUCCGGAAUCAUUGGGCGUAAAGAGCUCGUAGGCGGCUUGUCGCGUCGGAUGUGAAAGCCCGGGGCUUAACUCCGGGUCUGCAUUCGAUACGGGCAGGCUAGAGUUCGGUAGGGGAGAUCGGAAUUCCUGGUGUAGCGGUGAAAUGCGCAGAUAUCAGGAGGAACACCGGUGGCGAAGGCGGAUCUCUGGGCCGAUACUGACGCUGAGGAGCGAAAGCGUGGGGAGCGAACAGG